UACGUAGGUGGCAAGCGUUGUCCGGAAUUAUUGGGCGUAAAGCGCGCGCAGGCGGUCCUUUAAGUCUGAUGUGAAAGCCCACGGCUCAACCGUGGAAGGUCAUUGGAAACUGGGGGACUUGAGUGCAGAAGAGGAAAGUGGAAUUCCAAGUGUAGCGGUGAAAUGCGUAGAGAUUUGGAGGAACACCAGUGGCGAAGGCGACUUUCUGGUCUGUAACUGACGCUGAGGCGCGAAAGCGUGGGUAGCAAACAGG
rnacentral:rRNA from 1 species